UGGGGAAUAUUGCACAAUGGGGGAAACCCUGAUGCAGCAACGCCGCGUUCGGGAUGACGGCCUUCGGGUUGUAAACCGCUUUCAGCCAUGACGAAGCUUUUGUGACGGUAGUGGCAGAAGAAGCACCGGCUAACUACGUGCCAGCAGCCGCGGUGAUACGUAGGGUGCGAGCGUUGUCCGGAAUUAUUGGGCGUAAAGAGCUUGUAGGCGGUUUGUCGCGUCGAAAGUGUAAACUCAGUGCUUAACGCUGAGCCUGCUUUCGAUACGGGCUGACUAGAGGAAGGUAGGGGAGAAUGGAAUUCCCGGUGGAGCGGUGGAAUGCGCAGAUAUCGGGAGGAACACCAGUGGCGAAGGCGGUUCUCUGGACCUUUCCUGACGCUGAGAAGCGAAAGCGUGGGUAGCAAACAGG
rnacentral:rRNA from 1 species